AUAUAUUCUGCAGAAUGAUGCCAUUACCUUACAUAGUUAUGAUUUUAUUUCUUGUGAUGAGCAUUUAAGAUCUACUCUCUUCACAACUUUCAAAUAUAUAAUUCAGUAUUAUUAACUAUAGUCACCAUGCUGUACAUUAUAACCCCAGAAUUAUUUAUCUUUUAACUGGAAAUUCAUAGAUUUUGACUACCUUCACCCAUUUUCCCUACCUUCCACCUCCCAUUGAGGCUGUUUCUUACUUUGAAAAUCCUUUGGUGGAAGAGACUAGGAUAAGAAACACAUUGUUUUGUUUGGCUUUGUUUUGAUGUGUGUGUAUAUGAGUGUUUUAUUUUCUCUCAAGAUUUUAUUUAAAUUGAAGAUAGUUCACAUAUAGUGUAGUAUAAAUUUCUAUGUGAGUGUUUUAACAAACUACUAAGAUGCUUUUACUUUCCCCUAAAUUCUACUAAAAGCCUAUAUUUUUUGGCUUAGUACAUCUAUCUUUUAUGUUAUCAUAGACAGCUGAAAAAAAGCCAAUUCCAUAUUUGUAUGGAAGACACCUAGUAUUUUGCUAAUUUCCCCAAUGUGACAUGUGUUGAUGUUGCCAAACUUCUUACCUUUAUAUGACAAAGGUCCAGUUUUUUCUAGCUUCCAAUGACAAUUUUCUACCACUCAGGAUCUUAUAGACAGCCUUCUCAGGUCUUCCAAUGCUUCUUAAAAUCUCUUUAAGAUCCUUUCAGAUUCCAACCUAGUUUUAAAGUCAAUGCCACAUGUUUUGGAUUUCUAGUAUGGUGCCACAUUACUGCCAGUUGCCACAUUUUGUUAUGGCUAUCUCAAAUUUUGUUAUAGGCUAGUUUGCCUAGCAGACUGAUUAAAAAUUAUAAAAAUUUAAUUGUAUUUCACAAUUUUUGAAUCAGGGAAUCAGGUAUGACUUGGCUGUUGGAUUCUUCUUUAUGGGGCAUUGACUGGGGUCACUUAUUGGUAUUCAGUGGUCUUGUGACUUAGUGGCAGUAGGUGGAAGAAUGGGAUCAUCUCACACAUUUGUUUCUUCCUUUAGUCUCAAGGCUUCCCCACAUGGGCUUUUCAGAGGUUAGUUAGAUCUAAUACAUGGCAUCUUAGGGAUCCCCAAGAGUAUAAACCUGUUGAAAGCCUUAAGCCAUAAUGUCUGAUGCUCUAUACUCUGCUAUUAAAGCAGUCACAAGCCAGAUCAUAUCAAAAAGAAUAUGAAAACACACCUGCCUUUCAAUAGUGGAAGUGUCAAAGACUCUUCAGCCAUCUUUAAUAUGGCACAAUCUGCAAAGAGCUUAAAUUAUAUGAAACUUGAAACUUCCCUACUUUAAUAAUCUUAGUUAGCAAAGCCCACCUGCUUAUUCUCUUGGCGUAUAUGUCCUUACAGUUAAACUAGACAGAAAUGUAUUUUUUUGCAUUGGAAGUAAGAUAAAACAAAACAGUACAGAGAUGCUAAUUAUGCCCCAAGGAAAAAAGCCAUAGCCUAGUUGACUACCAAGAUUUUCAGAUAGGCCAUGUGAAAAAUUUCUCUGUUUUACAUUUAUAAUUAUAAUGAUAAACAUAUCUAGUGACUAUAUUGAAACUUGUCUGGUCUUAGGUCCAGAAAUUUUAUACUGAAGAAUCCAUCUAGUUUUAGUCUAAGACCAGAGUGGGUAGUGCAUGGAAUUUUACAUGAUAAGAAAUAAGAUAAUGGUGAAUCACAUUAAUUAACCUGUUUUUUUUAAUGGCUUUAAUUUUCUUCAAACUGAGAUCAAAAUGAUUACUGUAAGGACUGUGCCAAAGAAAGAAGGCAUUGCUAAUUUUGCAGGAUACACAACUGGGACUCUGUGAUAUUUAGAAAUAGGAACAAGCAAAGGAAACCAAGAAAGUGUGACCUGUCUGAUUAAAAGAAUAGCUAGAUCAUUUAGAGUAAUGGGAGUCAAGCAAAAAAAAUAUUUCAUGAGAAAAUGGUCAAAAUUAAUAAUAUUUCAGAAAAAUGUAAGAUUAGAAGGGUGUUUUAAAUUUGUGAACAUGAGAUUUAUUGGUAACCUUUACAAAAGCAGUUUAAAUAUAGUGAUGAUGGAAGAAGCCAAAUUGUAAUGGUUUGAAGAGUGAAUAGGAAUAGGGCAAGAGACUCUGAAAGGGCACUUAAUCAAUCCUUUCACUGAAGGAUGAUAGAGAAAGCGGUUUGGAGCACGAGGAGCAUGAGGGCCAGAGGUUUUUUUUAUUUUUUAUUUUAUUUUUCAACAUUUAUUUAUAAUCUUUACAUACAACUUGGGGCUUGAACUCAUGUCCCCAAGAUAGAGAGUCAUGUGCUCAACCGACUGAGCCAGCUAGAUGCUCCCAACGAGGUUUUAAAAAUUAUUUUGGAAAACUACCAAGAUGCAAAAUGAAUCCCAUAUGAUGAUAUAUUUGGGGAGGAGGGGUAAAUAGUUUUAUAAAAAUUAUUAUUAUAUAAGUGGUUUUAUAAAAAUUAUUAGUUGCCAGUCUUCAUAGGAAAGUAUUUCCUAUAGAAAGUUAAAUUUCUGUUGGAUGGGAUUUGGUAGUAUUUCCUUGAGAA
rnacentral:lncRNA from 1 species